AGUGAACGCUGGCGGUAGGCCUAACACAUGCAAGUCGAACGGCAGCACAGUAAGAGCUUGCUCUUACGGGUGGCGAGUGGCGGACGGGUGAGGAAUACAUCGGAAUCUACUUUUUCGUGGGUGAUAACGUAGGGAAACUUACGCUAAUACCGCAUACGACCUACGGGUGAAAGCAGGGGAUCUUCGGACCUUGCGCGUUUGAAUGAGCCGAUGUCGGAUUAGCUAGUUGGCGGGGUAAAGGCCCACCAAGGCGACGAUCCGUAGCUGGUCUGAGAGGAUGAUCAGACACACUGGAACUGAGACACGGUCCAGACUCCUACGGGAGGCAGCAGUGGGGAAUAUUGGACAAUGGGCGCAAGCCUGAUCCAGCCAUACCGCGUGGGUGAAGAAGGCCUUCGGGUUGUAAAGCCCUUUUGUUGGGAAAGAAAAGCAGCAGGUUAAUACCCCGCUGUUCUGACGGUACCCAAAGAAUAAGCACCGGCUAACUUCGUG
rnacentral:rRNA from 1 species